rnacentral:rRNA from 1 species
UGCCAGCCGCCGCGGUAAUACGGAGGGUGCGAGCGUUAAUCGGAAUCACUGGGCGUAAAGCGUGCGUAGGCGGCGCAGCAAGUCAGACGUGAAAGCCCUCGGCUCAACCGAGGAAUUGCGUUUGAAACUGCUGUGCUUGAGUCUCGGAGAGGUUGGCGGAAUUCCAGGUGUAGGAGUGAAAUCCGUAGAUAUCUGGAGGAACACCGGUGGCGAAGGCGGCCAACUGGACGAGUACUGACGCUGAGGUACGAAAGCGUGGGGAGCAAACAGGAUUAGAUA